rnacentral:rRNA from 1 species
CCUACGGGUGGCAGCAGUGAGGAAUAUUGGGCAAUGGGCGCGAGCCUGAACCAGCCAAGUAGCGUGAAGGAUGACUGCCCUACGGGUUGUAAACUCCUUUUAUAAAGGAAUACAGUGAGGCACGUGUGCCAUUUUGUAUGUACUUUAUGAAUAAGGAACGGCUAACUCCGUUCCAGCAGCCGCGGUAAUACGGAGGAUCCGAGCGUUAACCGGAUUUGUUGGGUUUAAAGGGAGCGUAGAUGGGUUGUUAAGUCAGUUGUGAAAGUUUGCGGCUCAACCGUAAAAUUGCAAUUGAUACUGGCAGCCUUGAGUACAGUUGAGGUAGGCGGAAUUCGUGGUGUAGCGGUGAAAUGCUUAGAUAUCACGAAGAACUCCAAUUGCGAAGGCAGCCUACUAAACUGCCACUGACAUUGAUGCUCGAAAGUGUGGGUAUCAAACAGGAUUAGAUACCCUUGUAGUC